CGGACGGGUAAGUAACGCGUGGAUAACCUGCCUCACACUGGGGGAUAACAGUUAGAAAUGGCUGCUAAUACCGCAUAAGCGCACAGUACCGCAUGGUACGGUGUGAAAAACCCAGGUGGUGUGAGAUGGAUCCGCGUCUGAUUAGCCAGUUGGCGGGGUAACGGCCCACCAAAGCGACGAUCAGUAGCCGACCUGAGAGGGUGACCGGCCACAUUGGGACUGAGACACGGCCCAA
rnacentral:rRNA from 1 species